CCCAUGCCGUCAUUACUACCCGGUUGGAUUACAGUAAUGCACUAUAUGUGGGGGUAGAGUGGCUCCAACAUUGCUAGACUCCAAAGAGAGCAAAACGCUGCAGCACGUCUUUUAUCUGGCACUCCUUCUAAACCUUCAUGCACCCUCCCGUUCACUCAGGAAGUCAUCUUGCAAACUGGAUGUUUGGGCCUUCUCCCCCUGGAAGGAUCAUCUUGAGCUUCCUACUGAGUAGGGGAUGCAAACAGGAGGUUUGGACCUUCUCCCCCCGA